GCUCCAAUAGCGUAUAUUUAAGUUGUUGCAGUUAAAAAGCUCGUAGUUGGAUUUCGGGUGGGUUGUAGCGGUCAGCCUUUGGUUAGUACUGCUAUGGCCUACCUUUCUGCCGGGGACGAGCUCCUGGGCUUAACUGUCCGGGACUCGGAAUCGGCGAGGUUACUUUGAGUAAAUUAGAGUGUUCAAGCAAGCCUACGCUC
rnacentral:rRNA from 1 species